AGCGAACGCUGGCGGCAGGCCAAACACAUGCAAGUCGAACGGAUCCUUCGGGAUUAGUGCGGACGGGUGAGUAACACGUGGGAACGUGCCCUUUGGUUCGGAACAACUCAGGGAAACUUGAGCUAAUACCGGAUGUGCCCUUCGGGGGAAAGAUUUAUCGCCAUUGGAGCGGCCCGCGUCUGAUUAGCUAGUUGGUGAGGUAAAGGCUCACCAAGGCGACGAUCAGUAGCUGGUCUGAGAGGAUGAUCAGCCACAUUGGGACUGAGACACGGACCGAACUACUACGGGAGGCAGCAGUGGGGAAUCUUGCGCAAUGGGCGAAAGCUUGACGCAGCCAUGCCGCGUGAAUGAUGAAGGUCUUAGGAUUGUAAAAUUCUUUCACCGGGGACGAUAAUGACGGUACCCGGAGAAGAAGCCCCGGCUAACUUCGUGCCAGCCGCCGCCGUAAUAC
rnacentral:rRNA from 1 species